rnacentral:rRNA from 1 species
CCUACGGGAGGCAGCAGUGGGGAAUAUUGGGCAAUGGGCGCAAGCCUGACCCAGCAACGCCGCGUGAAUGAAGAAGGCUUUCGGGUUGUAAACUUCUUUUGUCAGGGACGAAGCAAGUGAUGGUACCUGACGAAUAAGCCACGGCUAACUACGUGCCAGCAGCCGCGGUAAUACGUAGGUGGCAAGCGUUAUCCGUAUUUAUUGGGUGUAAAGGGCGUGUAGGCGGGAAUGCAAGUCAGAUGUGAAAACUAUGGGCUCAACCCAUAGCCUGCAUUUGAAACUGGAUUUCUUGAGUGCUGGAGAGGCAAUCGGAAUUCCGGGUGUAGCGGUGAAAUGCGUAGAUAUAAGGAGGAACACCAGUGGCGAAGGCGGAUUGCUGGACAGUAACUGACGCUGAGGCGCGAAAGCGUGGGGAGCAAACAGGAUUAGAUACCCUUGUAGUC